rnacentral:sRNA from 1 species
CGCGGCCGUUCUGAGCGCAGUGGCGCCGAGCAGCCCCUCUCGCAGCCGGUGUGACCUGUCCCUUCAGGCUCCAACCAGGAAUGGAGACGCCAUUGGAUGUUUUGUCCAGGGCAGCAUCUCUGGUGCAUGCUGAUGACGAAAAACAGAUGGGGUUUCAUCAUGUUGCCCAGGCUGGUCUCAAACUCCUGGCCUCCAGCAGUCCAUCCGCCUUGGCCUCCCAAACUGCUGUGAUUACAGG